rnacentral:lncRNA from 1 species
CUUUACCAGUACGCCCAUCGCAACCUUACUGGCUGGAGGAAUUUGCGAUGAGAAUGAGAACCUGCUGUCUAGCGGAAGCCAGAGCUGGAGGAGCUGUGCCUUCGCCCCACCAGCCAGUCCCCUCCUCCCACGCCGCGGGACCUGUCAGCGCUGUCUCCAUCCGCCCCACACGGAGGCCUGGGAAGGUGCUGGUGGGCAGGAGAUGUUACCAGAUGCACCCUUUGUCCCCGUCCCUGCUGUCUGGGCCAGAGGAGCACAGACAAGGCGCCUCCGUCUAUUGCUUUGGAAUGUUGCACAGCAAACAAUUAUACCUGGUGGGACUCUUUACAGGAGCGUGCCUAUUAACGAUGUUUUCCCAGGGAUGCAACGACCUCCAGGAAAUGAGAGAAAGAGAUGGCGUGGAAUCUCAAAGACGACAACACCAGAUGGUCGACAUCCCAAGAGCCCCCUUUUCCAGCCCAUUUGCCCUAUAGAACUGCUUCAAAAUGUUGUAGUUUUAGGAUGGUUCUUUAGGACACGAGUCGCCAUCUUCCCCCUUGCAAGCGAGA